CUGCCCGUAGCUCAGCUGGAUAGAGCAUCAGCCUUCUAAGCUGAGGGUCACAGGUUCGAAUCCUGUCGGGCAGGCCA
rnacentral:tRNA from 4 species